GAUGAACGCUGGCGGCGUGCCUAAUACAUGCAAGUCGAGCGAACGGACGAGAAGCUUGCUUCUCUGAUGUUAGCGGCGGACGGGUGAGUAACACGUGGAUAACCUACCUAUAAGACUGGGAUAACUUCGGGAAACCUUAGCUAAUACCGGAUAAUAUUUUGAACCGCAUGGUUCAAAAGUGAAAGACGGUCUUGCUGUCACUUAUAGAUGGAUCCGCGCUGCAUUAGCUAGUUGGUAAGGUAACGGCUUACCAAGGCAACGAUGCAUAGCCGACCUGAGAGGAUGAUCGGCCACACUGGAACUGAGACACGGUCCAGACUCCUACGGGAGGCAGCAGUAGGGAAUCUUCCGCAAUGGGCGAAAGCCUGACGGAGCAACGCCGCGUGAGUGAUGAAGGUCUUCGGAUCGUAAAACUCUGUUAUUAGGGAAGAACAUAUGUGUAAGUAACUGUGCACAUCUUGACGGUACCUAAUCAGAAAGCCACGGCUAACUACGUG
rnacentral:rRNA from 1 species